ensembl:lncRNA
CCUGCUCCAGAGGAUAUCAGCUCCCUGCCUGCGGGGGUCUUAUCUGUCACCAGUGAACUCCCCAGGCCUGGCCUGGUGCCUAUCACAGAUCUCUGGUGAGCAAAUCAAGAAAUGAAUGAAAAGAAGCAACUGAAGAACUGGGUCUAUUUCCAUGUUAACCAGCAAAGGUCAGACAGGGCAGGGCGAUGGUGACCGAUAGCGAGUGUCCCCCACCACUGCCAUCCUGAAGGUGGACGAGCAGAACGUGAGCUGGAGUCUCCUCGCCCCCCACCGCCCCUCUCCGGAUGGACAGGGUACAAAGCCCUCUUGGCCGGGGCCGCGGCUGGGCCCAUGAAACAGCUCUUUCAGCUCCGUCGCUGAAUGGCAGGUCUAUGGGCUGCUUGGAGGAACACAAGCGCCUUCUCUGUGUCACUUUGCUCAUUAGUGAAGCCACAGAAAUAUGCUACAGGAGGGACUGGUUGGAUCUCCUUGCUGUCCAAGAUGGGCCCUCUGCAAAGCUGCCACCAGCUUGCUAACCCAUCAAGUCCAAGCCUUUUGUCUCCAGCCACACGGACAAGAGAGAGAAAAGGAGCGGACAUCACCGGAUUCUGCCUGGGGAUGGAGUGACUCCAGUGGUGGAAACAGAGCAUCUGGAGACCUGAGAAGAGCAUUUGAGGAUGUGCAAACAGUGGUUGGCUCACCUGUUCCACCCCUUCAGUCUCAAAACUCUGACUCUACCCUGACCAAGACUUCAGACAUGCAAGAUCGUUGGUGCAGCUGCCACUUAGACAGUGAAGAGGAAAAAUAAAACUUCCUCCAAACUGGGAAGGAGUGCUACAUUCUUUUCCCUUUGCUGUGUAACAAAUUACCACAAAAUUAGCAGCUUGAACAUAGCAAACAAAGUUCCUCAC